UGGGAACCUUCCCUAUGGUUCGGAAUAGCUCAGGGAAACUUGGGGUAAUACCGGAUAAGCCCUUCGGGGGAAAGAUUUAUCGCCAUUGGAUGGGCCCGCGUCGGAUUAGCUAGUUGGUGGGGUAACGGCUCACCAAGGCAACGACGGGUAGCUGGUCUGAGAGGACGAUCAGCCACACUGGGACUGAGACACGGCCCAGACUCCUACAGGAGGCAG
rnacentral:rRNA from 1 species